UUGAUCCUGGCUCAGGACGAACGCUGGCGGCGUGCCUAAGCUUAUGCAAGUCGAACGCGAACGGUCCUUCGGGAGCCUAGUAGAGUGGCAAACGGGUGAGUAACGCGUGGGUAACGUACCCUGAUCCUGGGAAUAGCCCUCGGAAACGAGGGCUAAUACCGAAUGUGGCGAACGACCGGUUGGUCGCUCGCUAAAGGUGGCCUCUUCUAUGCUGCCGGGUUGGGAUCGGCCCGCGUCCCAUUAGCUAGUUGGUGAGGUAACGGCUCACCAAGGCCACGAUGGGUAGCCGGCCUGAGAGGGUGUACGGCCACACUGGCACUGAGACAAGGGCCAGUCCCCUAUGGGAGGCGCAGGCGGGAAUAGUUCACAAUGGGCGAAAGCCUGAUGACGCGACGCCGCGUGAGCGAAGAAGACCUUCGGGUUGUAAAGCUCUGUCAGGAGGGAAGAAGGCUCUACGGGUCAAUAGCCCGUGGGAUUGACGGUACCUCCAGAGGAAGCCCCGGCUAAAUACGUGCCAGCAGCCGCGGUAAUACGUAUGGGGCAAGCGUUGUCCGGAUUUACUGGGCGUAAAGGGCGCGUAGGCGGUUUGUUAAGUCGAAGGUGAAAUCCUCGGGCUCAACUCGAGAAUUGCCUUCGAUACUGGCAAACUAGAGUGGCGGAGAGGAAAGCGGAACUCUUGGUGUAACGGUGGAAUGUGUAGAUAUCAAGAGGAACACCGGUGGCGAAGGCGGCUUUCUGGACGCACACUGACGCUCAGGCGCGAAAGCGUGGGUAGCAAACAGGAUUAGAUACCCUGGUAGUCCACGCCAUAAACGACGGGUACUAGGUGUCGGGGGUAUCGACCCCUCCGGUGCCGCAGUUAACGCACUAAGUACCCCGCCUGGGGAUUAUGGUCGCAAGGCUGAAACUCAAAGGAAUUGACGGGGCCCCGCACAAGCGGUGGAGCAUGUGGUUUAAUUCGACGCAACGCGAAGAACCUUACCUGGGCUUGACAUGCUUGGGACAGCGCUGGAAACAGCGUCUCUCCUUCGGGAGCCCUUGCACAGGUGCUGCAUGGCUGUCGUCAGCUCGUGUCGUGAGAUGUUGGGUUAAGUCCCGCAACGAGCGCGACCCUCGUUACUAGUUGCCAUCAGUUCGGCUGGGCACUCUAGUGAGACUGCCGGUGAUAAACCGGAGGAAGGUGAGGAUGAUGUCAAGUCAUCAUGGCC
rnacentral:rRNA from 1 species